UUGAAAGGGAAACGAUUGAAGUCACCUACCACCAAAUCAACCUUUCAUUNAUUUUAUUUUUUAAAUUCAAAACCUUUAAUUUCAAAAUAUUCCUCUUUUNUUACUUUCUCUGUAAUUAACAUCAUUUUAUCAUCAUAAAAAAUUGANAAUUACUUCAUCUUUAUUAAUUUAUACCUUUGUAAUUAUAUUNNNUCAAAUUCAACAAUACCCUUUUGCCUAUCCCCUAUCUCUAUACUNCCUUGCAUCAAAACUCUUAUUUAUUAANAUUACNUCAAAANUUAAACNAUUACAUUCGUUAAGGAUGUUGACGUA
rnacentral:rRNA from 1 species